rnacentral:rRNA from 1 species
UCGAACGGCAGCACAGUAAGAGCUUGCUCUUAUGGGUGGCGAGUGGCGGACGGGUGAGGAAUACAUCGGAAUCUACCUUUUGGUGGGGGAUAACGUAGGGAAACUUACGCUAAUACCGCAUACGCCCUUCGGGGGAAAGCCGGGGACCUUCGGGCCUGGCGCUGAUAGAUGAGCCGAUGUCGGAUUAGCUAGUUGGUGAGGUAAUGGCUCACCAAGGCGACGAUCCGUAGCUGGUCUGAGAGGAUGAUCAGCCACACUGGAACUGAGACACGGUCCAGACUCCUACGGGAGGCAGCAGUGGGGAAUAUUGGACAAUGGGCGCAAGCCUGAUCCAGCCAUACCGCGUGGGUGAAGAAGGCCUUCGGGUUGUAAAGCCCUUUUGUUGGGAAAGAAAAGCGAUCGGUUAAUACCCGGUUGUUCUGACGGUACCCAAAGAAUAAGCACCGGCUAACUUCGUGCCAGCAGCCGCGGUAAUACGAAGGGUGCAAGCGUUACUCGGAAUUACUGGGCGUAAAGCGUGCGUAGGUGGUGGUUUAAGUCCGUUGUGAAAGCCCUGGGCUCAACCUGGGAAUUGCAGUGGAUACUGGGUCACUAGAGUGUGGUAGAGGAUAGUGGAAUUUCCGGUGUAGCAGUGAAAUGCGUAGAGAUCGGAAGGAACAUCUGUGGCGAAGGCGACUAUCUGGGCCAACACUGACACUGAGGCACGAAAGCGUGGGGAGCAA